rnacentral:rRNA from 1 species
UACGGGGGGAGCAAGCGUUGUUCGGAUUUACUGGGCGUAAAGCGCGCGUAGGCGGCCUCCGCAAGUCAGUUGUGAAAUCUCCGAGCUUAACUCGGAAAGGUCAACUGAUACUGCGGGGCUAGAGUGCGGAAGGGGCAACUGGAAUUCUUGGUGUAGCGGUGAAAUGCGUAGAUAUCAAGAGGAACACCUGCGGCGAAGGCGGGUUGCUGGGCCGACACUGACGCUGAGGCGCGAAAGCUAGGGGAGCGAACGGG